UUAAAAAUAAGUUAAUUAAACUAUUAGAUUCAUAACCUAACUAUAGAAAAUUUAUAUAAAUUAUUCUUUUUUAU
rnacentral:tRNA from 1 species